rfam:Gorilla gorilla gorilla genomic chromosome, chr16, whole genome shotgun sequence
GCUGGGCAUGGUGGCGCGUGCCUGUAAUCCCAGCUACUUGGGAGGCUGAGGCAGGAGAAUCGCUUGAACUCAGGAGGUAAAGGCUGUAGUGAGCCGAGACUGUGCCACUGCACUCUAGCCUGGGCAACAGAGUGAGACCCCAUCUCAA